GGGCCAUUAGCUCAGCUGGCAGAGCAGUUGACUUUUAAUCAAUUGGUCAAAGGUUCGAAUCCUUUAUGGCCCA
rnacentral:tRNA from 1 species